rnacentral:lncRNA from 1 species
CCCGCCGCCCUUUUCCCCGCGCGGGCCCAGGAGCCAGCCUUCGCGGGCCCCGCCGGCGUUGAUGAAGUCCAGCACCAGCCGCAGGCCCGGCGCGCUGAGGCCCGGGAAGCUGCGGGCCCGGGCGCCUCGGCUGCGGACGCGCAGCUGCGGGAGGCGGAGGGCGCGCGUCCCCGCAGCCUCUCCGCCCGCCCGGGGCGCGCCGGCUCCGCCGCUUGUUGGGGGCUGCAGUGAUGCUCCGGGGUACCCCAGGGAGAAGAAAUUCGUUUUCUCUCCCACGCUGCUUUACACGGGCUAAAGAAAAAGAAAUGAGCGUGGGAGGAAAGGGAAGGAUGGAGUCUCUGGUCCAGGGAGACAAAAAGGCAUCAAAUAUGGGGUCGUCCUUCUGGCCCAGUCCGGCAUCGAGUGUCAGUGGGCUGAGGCACGCAGGCGAUCUAUGGACAGUUGGUGGCAAUGUUGGUGGCACGUAGAGCUGAUUCUCUGGUAGCGUGGUCGCGUAGGAGCCAUCUUACAGGAGGUCCAGGCAGAUGGCAGCAGGUUCUCAGAGGAAUCGGGUUGGGAGGCAGGGGAGCUUGCAUUUGCCACUGGGGCCCCUUAUUCUCCCUAAGUUAUUAAAAGAAAGAUGAAAGCGCAGCCCGACUAAAUAAAGUUACAUCACGUGGCUUCUGGUUUUAAACCAUGUUUUCUAUGAGCCAUUGCUUUUCUACUUCAGUCCAGUCCAUUACGGAAUGUUAUCCUGGCGCAAAAGAUCUGACAAAAUUGGCUCAUAAAUGUCUGCAAGAAGUAGCUUUUCUUGUCACCCCCUUUCUCCACCUACCCUGCCCCCAUCAUCUGAGGACUAUUAAGAGAGACCACACGUGCGGUUUGGCUGAGCGCGGUGGCUCACGCCUGUAAUCCCAUGACUUUGGGAAGCCCAGGUGGGCAGAUCACGAGGUCAGGAGUUCGAGAGCACCAUGGCCAACAUGGUGAAACCCCGUCUCUACUAAAAAUACAAAAAUUAGCCGGGCGUGGUGGCACGCGCCUGUGAUCCCAGCUACUCGGGAGGCUGAGGCAGGAGAAUUGCUGGAACCCGGGAGGCGGAGGUUGCAGUGAGCCGAGAUCGCGCCACUGCACUCCAGCCUGGGCGACAGAGCGAGACGCCGUCUCGGAAAAGAGAGACCACUUGUUUCCUAUGUUCUCUCACUGAACAUUGCAAUUAGAAGGCCCACCCCAAAUAAUAAUAGGAAGGACUUUUUGUCUUGCUAAUGAAUUCAUCCCAGGAAGGGGGUGGGGGGAGAAAUAUAUUGUUUGGAUUAUCUUUGGGUAGGAGAAGGGAGAAGGAUUGGGAGGAAGCAGAGGGUGUGUUCACUCUUAUCUUACAAAACAAAAACAGAAAACCUUGAAAACUUACCCCAAACCAAGAUUUGAGAACCACCUAUGAUAAACAGUCCUUAACUUGGAGAGAAUAUGUGUUUGGUUUUUUUUUUUAUUAUUACAAGCUUCAGCUUUCUUCUUGAAUGACAGAUUGUUAAAUAAUAUCUUCUUCAUAAGUACAUUUCCCCUAUUUAAAGAAGAUACAUCCUACCAUGCUAACAUUUUACCUUAGGAAGGAGAAAGGGUUAAAAACCAGAGAACUAAAAGAAAGUCAAAGGUGAAACAUGAGAUCCUUUCAACAUAGUUUGGUUACAUUUGUGGUUCUUACUACGAAAUUUAUCUGCUUCACAGAGAGGUGUUGUUGUCAUCUUUUACUUUGUUUAUUAUUAUUACUUGGGAAAGGAGGUUUAUCUUUUUAUUUUUUAGAAAAAAAAAUGCAUUUUUUUUUUUUUUUGAGACAGAGUUUCCCUCUUGUUGCCCAGGCUGGAGUGCAAUGCUGCGAUCUCAGCUUUCUGCAACCUCCACCUCCCGGGUUCAAG